AUUUCAGUAGUUUAGCGGUAUCACGCAACCCUCCCACGGUUGCGACCUGGGUUCGACUCCCUACUGGCACA
rfam:Schistosoma rodhaini strain Burundi genome assembly, scaffold: SROB_contig0005151